AGCGAACGCUGGCGGCAGGCCUAACACAUGCAAGUCGAACGGAGUCUUCGGACUUAGUGGCGGACGGGUGAGUAACACGUGGGAACGUGCCUUUAGGUUCGGAACAACUCAGGGAAACUUGUGCUAAUACCGACUGUGCCCUUCGGGGGAAAGAUUUAUCGCCUUUAGAGCGGCCCGCGUCUGAUUAGCUAGUUGGUGAGGUAAAGGCUCACCAAGGCGACGAUCAGUAGCUGGUCUGAGAGGAUGAUCAGCCACAUUGGGACUGAGACACGGCCCAAACUCCUACGGGAGGCAGCAGUGGGGAAUCUUGCGCAAUGGGCGAAAGCCUGACGCAGCCAUGCCGCGUGAAUGAUGAAGGUCUUAGGAUUGUAAAAUUCUUUCACCGGGGACGAUAAUGACGGUACCCGGAGAAGAAGCCCCGGCUAACUUCGUGCCAGCCGCCGCAGUAACAC
rnacentral:rRNA from 1 species